rnacentral:rRNA from 1 species
UACGGAGGGAGCUAGCGUUGUUCGGAAUUACUGGGCGUAAAGCGCACGUAGGCGGCGCGGUAAGUCGGGUGUGAAAUCUCGGGGCUUAACUCCGAAACUGCAUUCGAUACUACCGUGCUUGAGGACUGGAGAGGAGACUGGAAUUUACGGUGUAGCGGUGAAAUGCGUAGAUAUCGUAAGGAAGACCAGUGGCGAAGGCGGGUCUCUGGACAGUUCCUGACGCUGAGGCACGAAGGCCAGGGGAGCAAACGGG